rnacentral:miRNA from 12 species
AUUUCUUUGUGGCUGUGGUCUGAGGAAAUGAUCCAGCUGAAUUAGCAACCUCUUGGCUGCAGUGACUACAG